AGAGGGAUAGCUGGGUCAAUGGUGGUUCUAUUCCUAAUUUUCUAAGAAAUUUCCAUACUGCUUUCCAUAUUGGCUGCACCAACUUGCAAUCCCACCAGCAAU
rnacentral:pre_miRNA from 1 species